rnacentral:SRP_RNA from 1 species
AUGAUGACUAGGCCGGGAGGCCAGGCGUCUCCUGUAACCUGAAAUCGUCUAUAGGCAGGGGCCGAAGCCUGAGGAGAGGCAGACAAAUCCAGGAUGGAGAGCUGCUCACGCCAGUGAAGCUCUGUCUCUCUUGAUCGACAUCGAAAGGGCUCUUUCUGGAGGGAAAGAGCUACUUUCCUGACUCCCAAACCCCGUGAGGCCCGGAAGGGAACAGCGGUAGGGAGAAUGUUCGAUGCUUGAGAGGUCACAGGGCAGAGAACGGAGCAGUUUUGAAGUUCUGGAGGAGUCUGUCCAUCCUCAGGCGUGUCGUUGA